CCCGCCACUGCACCUGGUUCCAUUAUGUUGGCUGGUGCAAUCCAGUGGUGAGCUGAAAGAAAAACCCAGCUUAGGAAACAGAGUUAUUCUGCUUGUGGGUCACUCUGUGCCGAAAGCUUGGGAACAUGG
ensembl:snoRNA